rnacentral:SRP_RNA from 2 species
UUUCUAGACCUGUGCAAGGCUUUGAUAGAGCAGCGCUUCAGGGUGGGAACACAGCAGAGCACUUUGUUUUGGUCUGUGCCGCAGUCAUCUGGAAAGGG